rnacentral:rRNA from 1 species
CCUACGGGUGGCACCAGUAGGGAAUUUUUCACAAUGGGCGAAAGCCUGAUGGAGCAAUGCCGCGUGUUUGAUGACGGCCUUUGGGUUGUAAAAAACUGUUAUAUGGGAUGAAAAAAAUAGAUAGGAAAUGAUCUAUUAUUGACAGUACCAUAUUAGAAAGCCACGGCUAACUACGUGCCAGCAGCCGCGGUAAUACGUAGGUGGCAAGCAUUAUCCGGAAUUAUUGGGUGUAAAGGGAGCGUAGACGGUUUUAUAAGUCUGAGGUUAAAUGCAUAAGCUUAACUUAUGCCUGCCUUAGAAACUAUGAAACUAGAAUGUGAUAGAGGACAAUGGAAUUCCAUGUGUAGCGGUGGAAUGCAUAGAUAUACGGAGGAACACCAAUUGCGAAAGCAGUUGUCUGGGUCAUUAUUGACGUUGAGGCUCGAAAGCAUGGGGAGCAAAUAGGAUUAGAUACCCGCGUAGUC